rnacentral:rRNA from 1 species
AUUGAACGCUGGCGGCAGGCCUAACACAUGCAAGUCGCACGAGUGGCGGACGGGUGAGUAAUGUCUGGGAAACUGCCUGAUGGAGGGGGAUAACUACUGGAAACGGUAGCUAAUACCGCAUACCAUCAGAUGUGCCCAGAUGGGAUUAGCUAGUUGGUGGGGUAAUGGCUCACCUAGGCGACGAUCCCUAGCUGGUCUGAGAGGAUGACCAGCAACACUGUAACUGAGACACGGUCCAGACUCCGACGGGAGGCAGCAGUGGGGAAUAUUGCACAAUGGGCGCAAGCCUGAUGCAGCCAUGCCGCGUGUAUGAAGAAGGCCUUCGGGUUGUAAAGUACUUUCAGCGGGGAGGCGUUACCCGCAGAAGAAGCACCGGCUAACUCCGUGCCAGCCGCCGCGGUAAUAC